rnacentral:rRNA from 1 species
UGUCUGGUGGGUAGUUUGACUGGGGCGGUCUCCUCCUAAAGAGUAACGGAGGAGUACGAAGGUGCGCUCAGCGUGGUCGGAAAUCACGCGUAGAGUAUAAAGGCAAAAGCGCGCUUAACUGCGAGACCCACAAGUCGAGCAGGUACGAAAGUAGGUCUUAGUGAUCCGGUGGUUCUGUAUGGAAGGGCCAUCGCUCAACGGAUAAAAGGUACUCUGGGGAUAACAGGCUGAUACCGCCCAAGAGUUCAUAUCGACGGCGGUGUUUGGCACCUCGAUGUCGGCUCAUCUCAUCCUGGGGCUGAAGCAGGUCCCAAGGGUAUGGCUGUUCGCCAUUUAAAGAGGUACGCGAGCUGGGUUUAGAACGUCGUGAGACAGUUCGGUCCCUAUCUACCGUGGGCGCUGGAAAUUUGAGAGGAUCUGCUCCUAGUACGAGAGGACCAGAGUGGACGAACCUCUGGUGUACCGGUUGUGACGCCAGUCGCAUCGCCGGGUAGCUAUGUUCGGAAGGGAUAACCGCUGAAAGCAUCUAAGCGGGAAGCCUACCUCAAGAUAAGAUUUCCCUAGGACUUUAUGUCCUCUAAAGAGCCGUUCGAGACUAGGACGUUGAUAGGUUGGAUGUGGAAGCAUAGUGAUAUGUGAAGCUGACCAAUACUAAUUGCUCGUGAGGCUUGACUAU